rnacentral:rRNA from 1 species
CGGCGAGUGAAGAGGAAAGAGCUCAAAGUUGGAACCUGCUUGGCUUAGCCAAGCCGGAUUGUAAACUGUAGAAGUGUUUUCCUGACACGCCAGGCAAAAAAGUCCUUUGGAACAGGGCAUCAUAGAGGGUGAGAAUCCCGUCUUUGGCCUGAGCAGUUGUCUUUUGCGAUACACUUUCAAAGAGUCAGGUUGUUUGGGAAUGCAGCCUAAAUUGGGUGGUAAAUCUCACCUAAAGCUAAAUAUUGGCGAGAGACCGAUAGCGAACAAGUACCGUGAGGGAAAGAUGAAAAGAACUUUGAAAAGAGAGUUAAACAGUAUGUGAAAUUGUUAAAAGGGAACCGUUUGGAGCCAGACUGGCUUGGCUGUAAUCAAUCUGGGCUUUUGCCCGGAUGCACUUGCGGCCUAUGCCUGCCAACGACAGUUUUAUUUGGGGGAAAAAACCAGGCGGAAUGUGGCCCCUUUGGGGGUGUUAUAGCCUCUUGGAAAAUACCCUGGAUUGGACUGAGGAUCGCAGCGAAUGCCAUUAGGCGAGAUUGCGGCGUGCUUUCGCUGAUAAAUGCUAGAAUUUCUGCUUCGGGUGGUGCUAGUGUUUAAAGGUGGAACCCGCGCUGUAUAUUUUUUAUUCGCUUAGGUUGUUGGCUUAAUGA